AGUGAACGCUGGCGGUAGGCCUAAUACAUGCAAGUCGAACGGCAGCACAGUAAGCGCUUGCUCUUACGGGUGGCGAGUGGCGGACGGGUGAGGCGUACAUCAGAAUCUUCUAUUUCGUGGGGGAUAACGUAGGGCAACUUCCGCUAACAGCGAAUAUGAUCUACGGCAGGGUUCAGGAGUUCUUGGCACCUUUCGCGUUUCUAUGAGCUGACGCCGGAUUAGCUAGUUGGCUGGGUAAGGGCACACCAAGGCAACGAUCCGUAGCUGAUCUGAGAGGAUGAUCGGCCACACUGGAACUGAGACACGGUCCAGACUCCUACGGGAGGCAGCAGUGGGGAAUAUUGGACAAUGGGCGCAAGCCUGAUCCAGCCAUACCGCGUGGGUGAAGAAGGUCUUCGGAUUGUAAAGCUCUUUUGUUGGGAAAGAAAAUCUGCAGGUGAAUACCCCGCUAUUCUGACGGUACCCAAACAAAAAGCACCGGCUAACUUCGUG
rnacentral:rRNA from 1 species